rnacentral:rRNA from 1 species
ACGGACAUACCACAUUGAAAACACUGGUUCUCGUCAUAUCACCGAAGUUAAGCAAUGUCGGUCAGUACUUGGGAGGGUGAGCACCUGGGAACACCAGGUAUAACUGUAGGCU